UACGUAGGGGGCAAGCGUUGUCCGGAUUCAUUGGGCGUAAAGAGCGUGUAGGCGGCCAGGUAGGUCGGUUGUGAAAACUGGAGGCUCAACCUUCAGACGUCGACCGAAACCAUCUGGCUAAAGUCCGGGAGAGGAGAGUGGAAUUCCUGGUGUAGCGGUGAAAUGCGCAGAUAUCAGGAAGAACACCCGUGGCGAAGGCGGCUCUCUGGAACGGUACUGACGCUGAGACGCGAAAGCGUGGGGAGCGAACAGG
rnacentral:rRNA from 1 species